GCCUGCGCGGAAGAUGUAACGGGGCUAAACCAUGCACCGAAGCUGCGGCAGCGACACUAUGUGUUGUUGGGUAGGGGAGCGUUCUGUAAGCCUGCGAAGGUGACCUGUGAGGGUUGCUGGAGGUAUCAGAAGUGCGAAUGCUGACAUAAGUAACGAUAAAGCGGGUGAAAAGCCCGCUCGCCGGAAGACCAAGGGUUCCUGUCCAACGUUAAUCGGGGCAGGGUGAGUCGACCCCUAAGGCGAGGCCGAAAGGCGUAGUCGAUGGGAAACAGGUUAAUAUUCCUGUACUUGGUGUUACUGCGAAGGGGGGACGGAGAAGGCUAUGUUAGCCGGGCGACGGUUGUCCCGGUUUAAGCAUGUAGGCUGGUUAUCCAGGCAAAUCCGGAUAAUCAAGGCUGAGGUGUGAUGACGAGGCACUACGGUGCUGAAGUAACAAAUGCCCUGCUUCCAGGAAAAGCCUCUAAGCAUCAGGUAACAUCAAAUCGUACCCCAAACCGACACAGGUGGUCAGGUAGAGAAUACCAAGGCGCUUGAGAGAACUCGGGUGAAGGAACUAGGCAAAAUGGUGCCGUAACUUCGGGAGAAGGCACGCUGGUGUGUAGGUGAAGCCCCUGCGGGUGGAGCUGAGACCAGUCGAAGAUACCAGCUGGCUGCAACUGUUUAUUAAAAACACAGCACUGUGCAAACACGAAAGUGGACGUAUACGGUGUGACGCCUGCCCGGUGCCGGAAGGUUAAUUGAUGGGGUUAUCCGUAAGGAGAAGCUCUUGAUCGAAGCCCCGGUAAACGGCGGCCGUAACUAUAACGGUCCUAAGGUAGCGAAAUUCCUUGUCGGGUAAGUUCCGACCUGCACGAAUGGCGUAAUGAUGGCCAGGCUGUCUCCACCCGAGACUCAGUGAAAUUGAACUCGCUGUGAAGAUGCAGUGUACCCGCGGCAAGACGGAAAGACCCCGUGAACCUUUACUAUAGCUUGACACUGAACAUUGAGCCUUGAUGUGUAGGAUAGGUGGGAGGCUUUGAAGCGUGGACGCCAGUCUGCGUGGAGCCAACCUUGAAAUACCACCCUUUAAUGUUUGAUGUUCUAACGUUGGCCCCUUACCGGGGUUGCGGACAGUGUCUGGUGGGUAGUUUGACUGGGGCGGUCUCCUCCCAAAGCGUAACGGAGGAGCACGAAGGUUAGCUAAUCCUGGUCGGACAUCAGGAGGUUAGUGCAAUGGCAUAAGCUAGCUUGACUGCGAGCGUGACGGCGCGAGCAGGU
rnacentral:rRNA from 1 species